UCUGCUCUUAUUCGUGCGACAUGAAUUUACGCUUGCAUACUUCAGUGGUGUCCCACAGAUAAAAUUCUUCUUGCUCAUGCAAAUUUUCUAUUCUUUAAGAUUUUUGGCCUCUUGUGGUCUUACAAACAUUGAGGGAGGAACUUUCAAAGCCAUGAAAAAGCUCAGAGAACUUUUCCUGAAUGUUAACUUCCUAUCGCACUUACUAAUAGCCACCCUUGAAGGACCAUCAGGGCUUAAAACUCUGCGCCUAGAUGGAAAUCAAAUUAGAACAAUAGAGGAUGGAACAUUCAAGCGCUUCACGGGACUUUUUGAAUU